rnacentral:rRNA from 1 species
GACAGAGGCCUCAAGCGUUAGGCGGAAUCACUGGGCUUAAAGCGUGUGUAGGCGGGUCGUUAAGUACCUUGUGAAAUCCCACGGCUCACCCGUGGAACUGCUGGGUAUACUGGCGAUCUUGGGCCAUUCAGGGGCAAUCGGAAUUCUUGGUGUAGCGGUGAAAUGCGUAGAUAUCAAGAGGAACACCUGAGGUGAAGACGGGUUGCUGGGCCGACACUGACGCUGACAGCGCGAAAGCCAGGGGAGCGAACGGG